GACGACCUUCUAGCUCUGCUCCGAUGCCUCGGUGGAGCGAGUUGAACUGACGAAUUAUCUAUUCACGGGAACAAUUCAAUCAAUGAAAGUAAAACAUUUAACAAAUAUCCCUAGGUCUAGACUCCUAGAACUGACUGUCUAAGAAUUUCGACUCGAAUAAAUUUUAUUGAAAAUUUGGCAGAACCUUCCCUAAAUACGGACGUUUACCCCCCGUAUAACGAGUCCGGGACCUGCUAGAAAAUAUUUUAUAUAUUUCAACAACUUCUUUAACGAGAGUCAGGCCACCAAAACUACAUUAUUUUUCCCUACUCCGCCACACAUCACAAAUCACAAAUUAGCAGACGGUCCGACACACUAUUUAUUUCGACAACAAUCCUCACAUAAUUUUUCUAAUGCUCAAAACAAUAAUUAAUCACAUAAUUUUUUAUCAGCGAACUCUAAAAUCAACAGGCUAGAGAAUUACCGAGACGCUUGAUCACCCGGUCGACUCGCCUCCAGCCGCCAGAGUCCGAUCAAGAUUCGAGCGUGCCUACGAACUCAAGACAAUACGCUGAUGAUGAUUCCGGCACCCGAUCAUCCGAUUCGACCUCCAAUCAUCUAGAGAAAUUUAUGGACAAUCUCGGCCGUCGAUUUUCAAACGGAGUCCGAUCACAGCGAAACUGGUGCCAUUAGAAAGCUUG
rnacentral:lncRNA from 1 species